UUGAAUUUGAUUCUUGUGGUGUUUGUAUCAAGGACACCAAGACGAAGACAAUUCUUCUCAGGUGCACAAGUCUCUGACCUCUAUAUUCUUUUUUUGAUUGAACAAUUAUAUUUCAUUAAUAUCAGCAAAUGUACAAGGUGAAGUUUUAGUAGUGACUUUGACUUAUUACUAUUCAUUUACAUACAAUCAUCUAUUCUAAGAAAACUACCAAUAUGCACUAAUUACAACUCAGUAUUGGGACAUCUAAUAUAGACUAUAACUAUGAAAAACUAUUAAGUUGUCGCAAGCCAUUUUGCCAUCGACUACAAUUCAUGCCUCGAAUAUGAAUAAGUAGUACAAUUUCUCUGCAUAUCUGAUUCUCCACAUAGAAUUUUCUGUCAAAUCUGAUGCUAUUCCCCUCCCUCCAGAUAAGUGCAACAGUGUUGACAAAUACACAGGUUGUUAUAGUAUUAAGCCCCAUUCUGCUCUUUGCUUUGCUGCAGAUCUAUUUCAACUCUGUUUCCCAAUCACCAACAGAUCUGUGGUGCCCCAGCCAAGGACAGAGUCUAGACCAUAGACUCCUUGUAAUUGAACACUCAAAAAACAAAUGAUUAAAGGCUUCUGUACUCUGAUUACAAAACACACAAGUUACAGGAACUUGUAUGCCAAAUUUCUGCAAUCUGUC
rnacentral:lncRNA from 1 species